GAAAGAGGUGGCAUCUUCCACCCGCGCUUGCCUCCUCGCUUCCUCCCUCUCGGUGUUUGACGGAGCGAGAGGGAAGACGAGGGCUAGCGUCUCCCCAGUGGACUUUUCCACCGCUCACCGUCACCCCUGUGAGCGCUAGUAUGAUCUCCUAGCUCACCUCGGUGCCUCGUAGCUCAACUGCCUCCCUCACCUUCUGCGCUUUUCUGAUCUCUUGCGAGAUACAGAAAGAGACAUAACACGGAGCCUACGAGCAAAACGCCUUGCUGGGUGGGGGGCGUCGUAUUGCGGAUCGGAAGAGUGCGGGCCCGAUGCUGCAGCGUCUCUCUCGUCGGUCGGUACUUGGCUACCACGGCGCGCCACAGGUCGCAGCGCUGAGGUGCUCGCUGCGGUUCGGCACAAAUAUCGGCGGGUCAUACUACCAGGAGUCGGACACAGCCGGCACUCACCAGAUGAACAAUGACAUUCGACUGGGCCUUGUCAUCAAGCCGCAGAGUACGCUCGUGGAGCUGUGGGAGCAGGCACUGAAGGCGUGGCCGACCCGCCGCUUUCUGGGGAGCAAGAUGUGGGUGCGUGGCAAGCUUGGCUACGUCUGGGCCACGUAUGAGUCUAUCAACACUGAGGUGGAGGCGAUGAGGACACUGCUACACAGUAUGGGCGUCGAGAAGGGGUCUCGUGUUGUUGUUAUCAGCGAGAACCGGUAUGAGUGGGUUGUGGUGCACUUCGCCACGAUGCAGCUAGGUGCGCACUUCGUGGCGCUCCCGACCAACGUCACCCCGUCAGAGGCGCAGCUCGUGGUGAAGAGCACACAGUCCAAGGUGCUCUUUGUCGAGACAAAGGCGUCGUACGCAGCCAUCAAGGGGUGGAUUGGCCGCGUGGGGCAGCUCGAGCACGCCAUUUGUUUCGAGGAUCAGGUUGGGGAGGGCAGCUAUGCAGUUGCGAUCAGCAUUGCGGCAGAUGUGCCUGAGAAGACUCUUGCGCGAACGGACGUCCGGGCCGAGGACACCGCGAUGAUUGUCUUCACAGCUGGUACCACGGGGCCGCCAAAGGGUGUCAUGUUGUCUCACAAGAGCAUCGUCGCGAACGUCAGCUCUGUGUACGCUAGCCUUGGCGAGGCGCUGACGCACAGCGACAUGUUCAUGUCGCUGUGCUCGUGGUGCGUUGCGGGCGCCCUCACGACGGACUUGUACCAGGCACUGUGCAAGGGUGCGUGUGUGUGCAUCCCCCCUGAAAUACUGGAGGGAUUCCAAGACCUGCCCCUCGUUAACCCGAGCGUCAUUGUCUCUGUAGCGCAGCCCUUUCAGCGCGCGUACGCGAACAUCGUCGACGACAUAUUGAACCGUGGCAGCUUCACCAAGGACUUGACCCGCUUCGUUGUCGGCCGCAUCACCGAAAACCGUCUCAUGUUCAAAAAACCUGGUCGAACUCUCCGGGCCUUCUCCCACGCGUUGCUCGGCAAGUUCAAGGCGCAGUUUGGCUCAGAGUUGCGCGUCGCCAUCAUCAUAGGCCACCAGCUCACCAAGGAUCAGUCAGAGCUCAUGGCAGACCUGGAUGUGUUCGUGGUGAACACGUACGGCUUCAUGGAGGCGGGUGGGCUCGUUGCCACCGACGUGGAUGUGCCGCAGCGUCUCAAGGCCCUGCCCGGUCUCGAGGUGCGCGUCGUGAACGAGAAAAACGAGAUUGUGGCACCAGGGGACUUGGGCGAGAUCCUCGUAGAGGCCCCGAACGCCAUGCAGGGCUACUUCGACGUGCAUAUCGACCCAGAGGAGGCGAAGAAUUCGCUGGUGGAGUACGGAAGCCGCACCUUUGUGCGGUCCGGCGACUACGGCACCCUCACUGGGGGGUGGAUAACGGUGAAGGGCAACAAAGACGUCCUUAUCACGUUGGCGAACUCCAAGACAGUGAACCCGCUCGAGGUGGAGGCAGCCCUGACAAAGAGCCCGCUCAUCAAGCAGGUCUUCAUCUACGGCAAUCGUCGCCCUUACGUCGUGGCGCUCGUGGUGGCCAACACUAAGGCCAUCGCGGCGCACUUGCGCAAGGUGGAGCGCCGCGAUGGUGUGCCGCUCGUCAACGACAGGGAGAAGGCGGACUGCAUCCGCACCGAGCUGCGGCGCGUCUCGCAGGAUCUGCCGCCUCGCGCGCACGUGCGCCGCUUUGCAUUUGUGGACGAGUUCACCCUCGCCAACGGCUUCAUGACGGUGAAGAUGGGCUACGCACGUCAGAAGAUCGAGGAUCACUACGUGCACUACUUUGAGGCCUUGUACGAUGAAACGCCGAAGUUUUACGGGUUUGCCGUUGACGACUACGAUGAUUUGUUUUAGUCGCACUCCUAUACGCGAAGCGCCACGCCCGCACAACCACAGCGAUACCCACACAUCUCCGACGCUACACGCGGCGCACUACGGUGCUCGUUGCAAUCCUCAAGUACAUGACCGUUUCGGCGAAGUACCCCCCCCCCCCCCCAACGUGCGCGUUGAUGGGAAGACAGGGCGCGCGCCAGCCUCAGACCGCCUUUUGCGCACCCGUCACAUUCUACUCUUGUUUCGUGCGCGAGACUGCUGCGCGGUGGCUGGCCCACACCGUGAUGCACAUUGUCUUGUUUGUUUCCUCCUCCGUAUGCUCUCUCCUCUUCUGUCCUAUCUUCACGCUCCUCUCUCGUGUUUGCCAUCUGUGUGUUGGUUGUGCUCUUUCCCUCCCUCCCUUCACACACGCACGCGGCCCUCUCAACACUCGCCCCCCCUCUUGGCGCAUUUUAAAAG
rnacentral:misc_RNA from 1 species